rnacentral:rRNA from 1 species
CUACGGGAGGCAGCAGUGGGGAAUAUUGGACAAUGGGCGCAAGCCUGAUCCAGCCAUGCCGCGUGAGUGAUGAAGGCCCUAGGGUUGUAAAGCUCUUUCGCCAGGGACGAUAAUGACGGUACCUGGAUAAGAAGCCCCGGCUAACUUCGUGCCAGCAGCCGCGGUAAUACGAAGGGGGCUAGCGUUGUUCGGAAUCACUGGGCGUAAAGCGCACGUAGGCGGAUCUUUAAGUCAGGGGUGAAAUCCCGAGGCUCAACCUCGGAACUGCCCUUGAUACUGAGGAUCUCGAGUUCGGGAGAGGUGAGUGGAACUGCGAGUGUAGAGGUGAAAUUCGUAGAUAUUCGCAAGAACACCAGUGGCGAAGGCGGCUCACUGGCCCGAUACUGACGCUGAGGCACGAAAGCGUGGGGAGCAAACAGGAUUAGAUACCCCAGUAGUCC